UCAGUCUUUCUCUAUCUACUUUCCCCAUGCCUUGUAUCAUUUUUAUUUUUUUUUAUAAACGUCUAUCAUGAUACAAGGCAUGGGGAAAGUAGAUAGAGAAAGACUG
rnacentral:miRNA from 1 species